rnacentral:rRNA from 1 species
CCUACGGGUGGCAGCAGUCGAGAAUCAUUCACAAUGGGGGAAACCCUGAUGGUGCGACGCCACGUGGGGGAAUGAAGGUCUUCGGAUUGUAAACCCCUGUCAUGUGGGAGCAAAUUAAAAAGAUAGUACCACAAGAGGAAGAGACGGCUAACUCUGUGCCAGCAGCCGCGGGAAUACAGAGGUCUCAAGCGUUGUUCGGAAUCACUGGGCGUAGAGCGUGCGUAGGCUGUUUCGUAAGUCGGGUGUGAAAGGCGCGGGCUCAACCCGAGGACGGCACAUGAUACUGCGAGACUAGAGUAAUGGAGGGGGAACCGGAAUUCUCGGUGUAGCAGUGAAAUGCGUAGAUAUCGAGAGGAACACUCGUGGCGAAGGCGGGUUCCUGGACAUUAACUGACGCUGAGGCACGAAGGCCAGGGGAGCGAAAGGGAUUAGAUACCCUGGUAGUC